rnacentral:misc_RNA from 1 species
AAGUCGUAACAAGGUCUCCGUUGGUGAACCAGCGGAGGGAUCAUUAUCGAGUUUCGUACUCCAAACCCUUUGUGAACAUACCUGUUUUCGUUGCUUCGGCAGGCCGGGGGGCAACCCCCGCCCGCCGCCGGAACCCCUCUCGGGGGCGUGCCGGCGGGCCUGCCGGAGGGCACAGACUCUGUAUUAAAACGUACCUCUCUGAGUUAUCUUUACAAAUAAGUAAAAACUUUCAACAACGGAUCUCUUGGUUCUG